UGGAUGUGUUUGUCGAUGAAUUGUGCCGGGAUCACUGCCCAGGGCCUGCUGUCCAUCCAAAAUCUUUAUAUCCACUUCACCGUCCUCAGAGUCCCUUUCCAGGCCCCGGUCAGCGUCCAGGGGUUCUGCAAUAAUUGAGAGCCACUGCCAGUAUUGAACGAUGACAACAGCACAAAACCUUGAGAUACAAUG